rnacentral:rRNA from 1 species
AGUGAACGCUGGCGGUAGGCCUAACACAUGCAAGUCGAACGGCAGCACAGUAAGAGCUUGCUCUUACGGGUGGCGAGUGGCGGACGGGUGAGGAAUACAUCGGAAUCUACUUUUUCGUGGGGGAUAACGUAGGGAAACUUACGCUAAUACCGCAUACGACCUACGGGUGAAAGCAGGGGAUCUUCGGACCUUGCGCGAUUGAAUUAGCCGAUGUCGGAUUAGCUAGUUGGCGGGGUAAAGGCCCACCAAGGCGACGAUCCGUAGCUGGUCUGAGAGGAUGGUCAGCGACACUGGAACGGAGACACGGUCCAGACUCCUACGGGAGGCAGCAGUGGGGAAUAUUGGACAAUGGGCGCAAGCCUGAUCCAGCCAUACCGCGUGGGUGAAGAAGGCCUUCGGGUUGUAAAGCCCUUUUGUUGGGAAAGAAAAGCAGCAGGUUAAUACCCCGCUGUUCUGACGGUACCCAAAGAAUAAGCACCGGCUAACUUCGUG